rnacentral:rRNA from 1 species
UACGAAGGGUGCAAACGUUGCUCGGAAUCAUUGGGCGUAAAGCGCACGUAGGCGGCUUCGCAAGUCGGAUGUGAAAUCCCUCGGCUCAACCGAGGACGUGCACCCGAAACUGCGGAGCUUGAGUACUGAAGAGGAUCGCGGAAUUCCCGGUGUAGAGGUGAAAUUCGUAGAUAUCGGGAGGAACACCGGUGGCGAAGGCGGGUCUCUGGGCCGAUACUGACGCUGAGGAGCGAAAGCGUGGGGAGCGAACAGG